UACGGGGGGGGCAAGCGUUGUUCGGAAUUACUGGGCGUAAAGGGCUUGUAGGUGGCCAACUAAGUCAGACGUGAAAUCCCUCGGCUUAACCGGGGAACUGCGUCCGAUACUGGAUGGCUUGAGAUCGGGAGAGGGAUGCGGAAUUCCAGGUGUAGCGGUGAAAUGCGUAGAUAUCUGGAGGAACACCGGUGGCGAAGGCGGCAUCCUGGACCGACACUGACACUGAGGAGCGAAAGCCAGGGGAGCAAACGGG
rnacentral:rRNA from 1 species